rnacentral:rRNA from 1 species
UACAGAGGUCCCGAGCGUUGUUCGGAUUCAUUGGGCGUAAAGGGUGCGUAGGCGGCGGGGUAAGUCUGAUGUGAAAUCCCGGGGCUCAACCCCGGAACUGCAUUGGAUACUGCCUUGCUUGAGUACUGGAGAGGGAACUGGAAUUUACGGUGUAGCAGUGAAAUGCGUAGAGAUCGUAAGGAAGGCCAGUGGCGAAGGCGAGUUCCUGGACAGUAACUGACGCUGAGGAGCGAAAGUGUGGGGAGCGAACAGG